rnacentral:lncRNA from 1 species
AGAAAUGGCCAGUGCAAACAACAUGACUAAUCGAAUCUUUACCUUUUUCCAAGUUCAUGUUGAUUUCUUCAUUUUUAGCAUUAGGAACAUCCUUCUUAUGGAGCUUAACACUUGCUGCAGUUUUUCCCGUCUCAAGCUUCUUCACCACGCGCCCGUGGAUAUCUUGAGAAGGUUGAACAAUGCGUCUUCUCCUUAGUUGCUUUGUUUUCUUGUUCCUUUCUUUAUUGAUGGGCACUUUUUCUUUUGAUCCUGCAGCUUGAUGCUCAUCCAAGAGUUGGCUUUCUUUUGAGCAACCAGGGUUAGCACAUGGUGAUAUAUUAUCUAGAUGUGCACGUGUGCAAGAAUGAGGUUCAUAUGAAUUUAGGUUUGCAACUACAACCUCAUGAGCAAUAUCAAGCAUGAUAUGUCUAUCCAAAAGAUUAUCAUGAUAAUAAGACAAUAUAUCAUAUUUUUCAGUAA